UAUCUCAUUUAAGCCAGUGACACCCCCCCCCCCCCCCAGGAGUAUGUUCUUGUCCUUGUUUUAUGGACGGAAACCCCGAGGACAGGAGGGAUUAACCCGACAUCAGUGGCGACGCCAACCCAGCUCGUCUGAUUCCAGACACUGUUCUUUUAAUACAUAUUACUUAUGCCUGGGAGCCAGACGGUUUGAUGAAAACAAAGCAGUUGAGUUCUGCAAUAUUUAUAAAGAAAUUGGUGAACAUGGGGACCACAGUGGAAUUCAGUGGAACGCACAGUGGUUCUCUAUUGAUGGACUUAAAAACAGGGAGAUGGUGUGGAAAGGGCAGGCAGGUUUACAUUUCUUUCAUCCCUUUUGGGGUGAACACGUUGAUACAUAAAAUUCAAGCGAAGAA